UCCCUGGUGGUCCAGUGGCUAAGACUCUGUGCUCCUAUUUCAAGGGGCCUGGGUUCAAUCCCUGGUCAGGGAC
rnacentral:tRNA from 1 species